rnacentral:lncRNA from 1 species
GAAAUCAAUUGAUUUAUUUUGUUUCAUUUCAGUGGUUUUAUAGUCUUUAAAUUAUACUAGCUAUAAGUAGCUGACAUUUCGUUCUCUGGGCUGAUAAUCAUAAAACCACUUAAGUUAAGAAUUUAAUUUAUCAUAGGACAUGUAGAAAAAUCAGUCCUUUCGGAACACAACUUAACUAUAGUACCUUUAUGCAUACGGGCC